GUGAACGAGCUGACCCACAAAUCGGAACUACUUGAAGAUGAACUUGCAAAGGCUAGUAAUCAAUUAAGGGAGGUCAGGGCUACCGCUGAUUUAGAAAACUUGAAGUGCAAAGCAGCGAACGAAAUUAUCAGUGUCCUUAAAACUCAGAUCAAAGCUAUGACACCAAGAACACCUGAGGAGUGUACUUUGAAAGGCAGUUGGCCUGAUCAUGUAUCUAAGUUGUUUGGAAGUCAUUCCUGCGACAAUAAUUUGCAGGAUGUUCAUAGGCCACCUGAUUCCAGUGGCCAGCAGGCUCAUCGAUCGUCCUGCAAUGGAAAUUGCAUUGUAGCCGAUGCAGAAUGGAUGGAACAGGUUGAACCUGGUGUUUACAUCACUGUGUUCCGCUCACCUGCAGGUCAGAAGUACCUCAGGCGUGUGCGUUUUAGUAAGAGACGUUUCACAGAACAACAAGCAGAACUAUGGUGGGCCGACCACCGAUCAACCCUGCAAGAGCAAUAUGGUAUUCUGCCUGGAGACAGUAUCUUCCCAUCAAGAACAAUUCGGGAAAAGGGAUAGGAUAAUAUCUUUGACUAAUUGGUGCAUAUAUCGACUUUUCCUGCCAGAAAAUGUAUAUGCCUUCCCUUUUUCUUGAGCAAAAAAUGUAUGUCUUCUUGGAGGUGAUUUCCUGUUCUUUCUUCUGGGUAGCAAUGGGAGGUGUGUGCUGGAGAUUGAGCUCACUGAAUUCCUUGGCCUCAUCCCACUCCAUCCAGAUGGAUAUUACUCGAGGCUUCCAUCGUUGUGUUCUCUGUACAAAAGAUACAGCAAAUGAUGAGGUUUUUCGAAAAGAGGAAGAUACGAAGAUGGCUGUAUAUCUCGUAGUUGUGGCCAUUUGUAUAGCUAAACUGCCAUGAGUUGUCUGAGUUAGUUUGUGCAAAAUGUCUCUGCAGAGGUGGUUAACAUAGGUAAUCCGUGUGUUCUGGAGCUUCAGUGUGGCCUUUCCCCGUACGCCCCGGCUCCUCUUCUCGUACUUGAUCUGGCACCCUGCAGCUACUUGACCCUGUCAUAAUAUGG